UACGUAGGUGGCAAGCGUUGUCCGGAUUUACUGGGCGUAAAGAGCGCGCAGGCGGUCGUUCAAGUCGCGUGUGAAAGCCCCCGGCUCAACUGGGGAGGGUCACGCGAUACUGAUCGACUCGAAGGCAGGAGAGGGUAGUGGAAUUCCCGGUGUAGUGGUGAAAUGCGUAGAUAUCGGGAGGAACACCAAUGGCGAAGGCAGCUCACUGGGACGGUACUGACGCUGAGACGCGAAAGCGUGGGGAGCAAACAGG
rnacentral:rRNA from 1 species